rnacentral:rRNA from 1 species
GGGGAAUAUUGCACAAUGGGCGCAAGCCUGAUGCAGCGACGCCGCGUGAGGGAUGGAGGCCUUCGGGUUGUAAACCUCUUUUAUCGGGGAGCAAGCGAGAGUGAGUUUACCCGUUGAAUAAGCACCGGCUAACUACGUGCCAGCAGCCGCGGUAAAACGUAGGUCACAAGCGUUGUCCGGAAUUACUGGGUGUAAAGGGAGCGCAGGCGGGAAGACAAGUUGGAAGUGAAAUCCAUGGGCUCAACCCAUGAACUGCUUUCAAAACUGUUUUUCUUGAGUAGUGCAGAGGUAGGCGGAAUUCCCGGUGUAGCGGUGGAAUGCGUAGAUAUCGGGAGGAACACCAGUGGCGAAGGCGGCCUACUGGGCACCAACUGACGCUGAGGCUCGAAAGCAUGGGUAGCAAACAGGAUUAGAUACCCUGGUAGUCCAUGCCGUAAACGAUGAUUACUAGGUGUUGGGGGAUUGACCCCCUCAGUGCCGCAGUUAACACAAUAAGUAAUCCACCUGGGGAGUACGACCGCAAGGUUGAAACUCAAAGGAAUUGACGGGGGCCCGCACAAGCAGUGGAGUAUGUGGUUUAAUUCGACGCAACGCGAAGAACCUUACCAAGUCUUGACAUCCCUUGACAGACAUAGAAAUAUGUAAUCUCUUCGGAGCAAGGAGACAGGUGGUGCAUGGUUGUCGUCAGCUCGUGUCGUGAGAUGUUGGGUUAAGUCCCGCAACGAGCGCAACCCUUAUGGUCAGUUACUACGCAAGAGGACUCUGGCCAGACUGCCGUUGACAAAACGGAGGAAGGUGGGGAUGACGUCAAAUCAUCAUGCCCUUUAUGACUUGGGCUACACACGUACUACAAUGGCGUUAAACAAAGAGAAGCAAGACCGCGAGGUGGAGCAAAACUCAGAAACAACGUCCCAGUUCGGACUGCAGGCUGCAACUCGCCUGCACGAAGUCGGAAUUGCUAGUAAUCGUGGAUCAGCAUGCCACGGUGAAUACGUUCCCG